rnacentral:lncRNA from 1 species
AUACUACUGAUUUUUCCCAGAAAUUGAAUUUAAAUGAAAGUACGUUUUAAAAUUUCAUGCAUACAUAAUAUAUGAAUUAGUAUUUGAUGCAUAUAUGUGAAAUGGUGCUGUGGACGCAUAGGUAAGUAUUAGGUGAGUUUUAUGUGUUCAUGUGAAUUAUUAAUGAUAUGAAUUGUGUUGAUAGCUCAUAACCUGCACCCCUGGUGUUAGUGCUUAUAUUAUUCUGAAGGAAAUUUUGUGAAAAACAUGUUCAUUUAAGCAACAUCUAUAUAGCAUGCAUUUAACAAUUAAAGGCGGAAUCAUGCUUGCAUGCACUCAAAAACAAAUCAACCAUGAAAUUCAAAGCCUAGUAGAUUGGUGAACCAAGACUCAACUCAAAUCAAAGUGAGUUGAGAAAUUUAUACCUUUGUAGAUUCCUCUUUGCAUAAGCAAAGGCUAAUCACCCAAAGAGAGGGCCUUCAUUCCUUGCAUCUUAGAUCUAUGGAUUGGAUGGAUGAAAUGGUUCUCCAAGUUCCCAAAAUUGAGAACCUCUAAGUCUCUUCACCAAAGUUAGAUUAGAGAAGAAAUGAGUGACCUUGGAGUAGUAGGAUUGCUAGCUAAACCCUCCAAGGAGGCCGGCCACUUUAGAGAGAAAGGAGAGCUUGUGUUCUCAUCCUUUCCCUAAAAGAAAACCCUAAAUGAAUUUUGGCUAUAAAGUCAUAUUUAUACCUUAAUUCAUUGGAGUGGCAAACUUGUAAAUAAGUCCAAAACUCACUUCAUCUCUAAAUGGCCGGCCUUAUGGUAUUAUUGGGCUAAUUGGGCCUUUGUCAAUCAUUAUUCAUUAAGUUGUCAUACAACUUAAUUCAAUGGGCUUGACGUUCGAAGCCCUUUGGGCCUUAAGGUCCAAAACUAUCCCGAGGUCUUUAACGAACUUAUUCGUCUGAUUAAUUAACAUAUUAAUUAAUCCUUGCCAUAAAUAAUUAAACCAUUUAAUUAUUCUUACUCAUCUCCAUUGUUUCUUCAAUCUCCACCUUACACGGUGUACGAUCCAUUAGGUUCCUUUUAGCGAGGCAGUGGGCGAUUAAAACCAUUUCAAAUCAAUUGUGAAUUGAAACUUACUUUCAAUUCUCCCUUUAGUGAUUAUACACGUUUAGGGCUUCCA